UGAGAGAGGUCAGCGUGAGCCCCUUGCCUCACACCGGCCCCUCCCACGCUGAGAGAGGUCAGUGUGAGCCCUUGCCUCACACCGGCCCCUCCCACGCGGACAGAGGUCAGCGUGAGCCCCUUGCCUCACACCGGCCCCUCCCACGCUGAGAGAGGUCAGUGUGAGCCCUUGCCUCACCCCGGCCCCUCCCACGUGGACAGAGGUCAGCGUGAGCCCCUUGUCUCACACCGGCCCCUCCCACGCUGAGAGAGGUCAGUGUGAGCCCUUGCCUCACACCGGCCCCUCCCACGCGGACAGAGGUCAGCGUGAGCCCCUUGCCUCACACCGGCCCCUCCCACGCGGACAGAGGUCAGCCCGAGCUCCUUGCCUCACACCGGCCCCUCCCACGCUGAGAGAGGUCAGUGUGAGCCCUUGCCUCACACCGGCCCCUCCCACGCGGACAGAGGUCAGCGUGAGCCCCUUGCCUCACACCGGCCCCUCCCACGCUGAGAGAGGUCAGUGUGAGCCCUUGCCUCACACCGGCCCCUCCCACGCGGACAGAGGUCAGCGUGAGCCCCUUGCCUCACACCGGCCCCUCCCACGCUGAGAGAGGUCAGCCCGAGCCCCUUGCCUCACACCGGCCCCUCCCACGCUGAGAGAGGUCAGCGUGAGCCCCUUGUCUCACACCGGCCCCUCCCACGCUGAGAGAGGUCAGCCCGAGCCCCUUGCCUCACACCGGCCCCUCCCACGCUGAGAGAGGUGUGAGCCCCUUGUCUCACACCGGCCCCUCCCACGCGGACAGAGGUCAGCGUGAGCCCCUUGCCUCACCCCGGCCCCUCCCACGCUGAGAGAGGUCAGUGUGAGCCCUUGCCUCACACCGGCCCCUCCCACGCGGACAGAGGUCAGCGUGAGCCCCUUGCCUCACCCCGGCCCCUCCCACGCUGAGAGAGGUCAGUGUGAGCCCUUGCCUCACACCGGCCCCUCCCACGCGGACAGAGGUC
rnacentral:lncRNA from 1 species